rnacentral:rRNA from 1 species
GAACGCUAGCGGCAUGCUUAACACAUGCAAGUCGAACGGACUAAUUGGGGCUUGCUCCAAUUAGUUAGUGGCAGACGGGUGAGUAACACGUGGGAAUCUACCCAUCAGUACGGAAUAACUUUUAGAAAUAAAAGCUAAUACCGUAUAUUCUCUACGGAGGAAAGAUUUAUCGCUAAUGGAUGAGCCCGCGUCAGAUUAGGUAGUUGGUGAGGUAACGGCUCACCAAGCCGACGAUCUGUAGCUGGUCUGAGAGGAUGAUCAGCCACACUGGGACUGAGACACGGCC